GAUGAACGCUGACAGAAUGCUUAACACAUGCAAGUCAACUUGAACUUCGGUUUGGGUGGCGGACGGGUGAGUAACGCGUAAAGAACUUGCCUCACAGCUAGGGACAACAUUUGGAAACGAAUGCUAAUACCUGAUAUUAUGAUUAUAUGGCAUCGUAUAAUUAUGAAAGCUAUAUGCGCUGUGAGAGAGCUUUGCGUCCCAUUAGCUAGUUGGAGAGGUAACAGCUCACCAAGGCGAUGAUGGGUAGCCGGCCUGAGAGGGUGAUCGGCCACAAGGGGACUGAGACACGGCCCUUACUCAUAAGGGAGGCAGCAGUGGGGAAUAUUGGACAAUGGACCGAGAGUCUGAUCCAGAAAUUCUGUGUGCACGAUGAAGUUUUUCGGAAUGAAAAGUGCUUUCAGUUGGGAAGAAAAAAAUGACGGUACCAACAGAAGAAGUGACGGCUAAAUACGUG
rnacentral:rRNA from 1 species